ensembl:lncRNA
ACGUCAUUUGAUGGAGCGUUAUUUAGGAGCAGCGCGACAGACGUCUGGUGUCGGAGUAUUGCCACCUCCCCGAGUGGUAACUUGUUUAUUAAUUCUCUGCGGUGUGCAUACGGCCAACCUAUGUCUUGGAUUUGGUUUACUUUCCUGUUGUCCUGUAUCCUCAGCUGGAUCUAUCACCCGCUUACCUGUCAGCUGUUUGUGAAGCCGCAUUUCCGGGAUCUCUACGGAGAUAGAUCUCAGCAUUUCUUCUACUUCCCGGGAAUCCUCGCCCGAGUCUGUACAGCCAGUGUGACAAAUCCACCCUGCGUGUGCGGGUUACCCCUUUCCCUCAGAAUGCGUGUCAGCUCCCUUCUCUGGUUUCCCUCCGUUUAUUUGUCGGUGUACAUAUUCCAUCCCGUGUAAAUAAGUUGGACACUGUAAAUAAAAAGCACUUCCUGCAUUUUCUGCGUUUCUGUGUGUUCUGCCAUAGAGUCCGUUUACUUAGCAUAACA